rnacentral:rRNA from 1 species
AGUGAACGCUGGCGGUAGGCCUAAUACAUGCCAGUCGAACGGCAGCACAGUAAGAGCUUGCUCUUACGGGUGGCGAGUGGCGGACGGGUGAGGAGUACAUCGGAAUCUACUUUUUCGUGGGGGAUAACGUAGGGCCACUUACGCUAAUACCGCAUACGACCUACGGGUGAAAGCAGGAGAUCUUCGGACCUUGCGCGAUUGAAUGAGACGAUGUCGGAUUAGCUAGUUGGCGGGGUAAAGGCACACCAAGGCGACGAUCCGUAGCUGGUCUGAGAGGAUGAUCAGCCACACUGGAACUGAGACACGGUCCAGACUCCUACGGGAGGCAGCAGUGGGGAAUAUUGCACAAUGGGCGAAAGCCUGAUCCAGCCAUACCGCGUGAGUGAAGAAGGCCUUCGGGUUGUAAAGCCCUUUUGUUGGGAAAGAAAAGCAGCAGGUUAAUACCCCGCUGUUCUGACGGUACCCAAAGAAUAAGCAACGGCUAACUUCGUG